rnacentral:rRNA from 1 species
CUUUACCAUCCUUAUGGAGCACCGCUCGAUUUGGGGAUGUGUGGCGUUGGUUGGCCUCCCGAACGCUUAAACCUGUUUGGCCGGCUUAAAUGCGAUGUUCCUUGUGGUUGGUUGUAUCAUUUGAACGCGAUGAGCGUUUGUCGCGUGGCCGCUCGACUUCGCAAGUCGUUGCAUCGGGAUGGUCGAGAUCAUUAGGUACUGUUGAAGAUAGAGAGACCCUACGUUUCACGGUCGAGGAUUUCGUUGGUUUCGUUUGGGACCCCAGGUCAGGCGGGAUCACCCGCUGAGUUUAAGCAUAUCAAUAG